CCAACUGCAUUAGACUUUUAUAUCUCUUUACAAACAUAUCACAUAUCUGAAGAGGAAAAUGCUUUUUGGCACAAGAGAUACACAAUCUCAAGAUCUUACUGAUUUCAUCAAUGGAAGGAUGUUUCCCGCUGGAGGCUAAUAAAUCACCCCAGCCGGCAAAUGCCAGCCACUUACAGUAAGAACUGGAUGAGGGUAACAUAAACCGUGGAGAUCUAGUAUCACUUCUGCUGCUACAAUGAAGUGCAAAGCCCAAGAGGAUGAACAGGUAUGAAUAUUAUCGAGUUACUACUCCUGAUUCUACCCUCAGUGUUAGAAAUGUAUUUGCACUGAAGACACUGAGAAAUUUUGUAAAAUUAUUCAUUCCAUCUUUAUUCCUACUAUGUAGAUAAAUCCUUGUAUUUUGAGGUUUCUUUUUUAGUUUGCACUAGCCUUCUUAUAUAUAUUGAUACAAAGAGUAACUCAGUUGACAACAUCAGAAUAAAAGUGUGCAAAUGAAAAUUGGAAGCUACGUACUCUAGUGAUACUGUCAUAUGCUAAUAUUCACAGAACUCUCCUUAGAAGUACAGCAGAUUGGACUGGAUAUCACACCAGUGGUUUAAUACCAAAAUUUCUGGGUUUUUAACUGCUGUGCCCUCGUUGGCUUACUUCCUUAGCCAUAUGGAAAAUAGCCAGGCACAAUUAACUAUUUGUCAGAAAACAAUCUAUUAAUUAACACCAUUCUGUGAGGAUGAGCUGAAAAUCAUAUUCUUUGCUUGCCAAAAAGCUUUCAUUUCUGCCUCAUGUUUGUGUUCAGAUCUAAACAUAGCUACAGAUACGCUGCUUAACAUAACUGACCAGUGGAAAAAAGAACAACUGCUGCCGAGAUUUUUCAGAUACAGCAGCCAACGGGAUUUUCUAAAGAUAGGUAGGGGGGUCAAAAGGACUUCACCUUUUCAUCUCGUAAAAAUUCUUCACUGACAGAUCUUUGAUUAAACUGGGCAGAAAUAGACCGAGUCCCAAUUAAGACACUCAUAUUUGUGGCUGGGCUUGAAAGAGAAAAGAGAAAAGAGAGAGCGGAGAAUAGGUUGCAGCAUUUUAUAGGCUUAACCUUAAAAAUAUAGGACCUGACUUCAAUUAUAUUUAUACCCAUUCGAUUCUAUUGACGUCAAAGGAUUUACUCCUAAAUUAUGCCAGAUGGAAAUCAGGCUAGCUAUUACACAUUUUCAUGCAUAUAAGCAGCACCUCUUUAAAAGCAUCGUUUAUUCAGAAGUACAUCCUCAGACAACAUGCCUCCUCAGACAACCCAGAUAAAUUCAGAAGGGAAAAUCAGCUAUGGGGAAUUUUAGGGGAGAACUGCAGAUCGAUGUAAGGGAAAGAGGAGAUAAAGGCUGAACUCCCUUUGCUGUUACCUGCACAUACACACAACCUUCACUGCUGCGAACCCUGGGCUCUGAACUGAUAACCACUGGGGCUGGCACAGGACAACGUGGUGGCUAUUUGCUUUCCCUGUACAGAAGUAACACGUGUUCUAUGUUACCUCCGAGACUGGUAUUCUUGUAUUUCACUUUUCCAGCAGAGUAGCCUGCAAUGCUUCUGCUUCCAAAACUUUUAACACUGAAGCCCUUUGCAGGUCCACAGUGCUACAGGUGCGUAACAGCUAUCAGUUAGUGGCUGGUUCCUCAUAACUGUUUUUCAGAACUGUUCACUCGCUUGGAUGCUAUCCUAUAACCCCAACCCAUUCCUUCUGCUUGUGCUUUCAACUAUCCAAGCGGCUGUUUAAAAUUAUUUGAAGCAAGUUGAGACUGGAGUUUUUCUCAGCGGUAUCCAGGCUAAAGGGAACUGAUGAUGUACCUGACCUUUGAUGAGUGCUAACAGCCCCUUGUGUUCAAUCUGAAGUGAAAGAACACAGAGAAGCUAAAAUUCCUCUCUUUGAAAUCUCCUUGCAGCUGCAAAGAAUCAAUCUUCUAAGGUUAUAAAGGGUUCAGAGAAGGCUGGCCUUAUCCCUUGCAAUAGUGGAUUGUUCCAGCACCACUCAGACCACUGAACACUUGGUACGCUUACCUGUGCCCUACAGUCUCUGCAUCACUUCCGUGGCUGCUCCUUCCAUAGUGGCCACCCUGCAGGAUCCUGUUAGCUCGGCUUGACCUUGCCAUUGAUCACACUCUCUCCUGAUGCUGUCCCACUCUUCCCUAUCCCAAUCUGUAUUCGUCCUUCUACUCUCAUCCACUUGGUUUAAUUCCCACAGGCAUGAAGACCAAAGCAGAAACACAGUGGCUGAUGCAUGGUUCCAAAUUUCCUACCUGCUCAGAUGGUUUGAGCUUGGAGCAGGCUCUGUUCCUAGCAGUACUCUUCAUGUUGCAAUCUUGCACAAUGGCCCUCAUGGUUUGGAUAGUUCCACGGCCUUCUCAUACUAAUGUAGUUACUAACCACAGCAAUCUCUACCAAGACAUCUUUUUUACUUCAACCUCUUGCAACAACAAAAGAAGCAAACAGUGUGGCAGCUUAUCCUCAAUAAUCAGCUCUCCACAAAAGGCGGAAGUUGGGGGCCUGAAGACAAAAUGUGACAUAAAAGGUUCCCAAACUAGCAUGUGCAGCUGUACAAUCCCUCUCUGUGCUGCUCCUCUUUGUAGUACCUCUGCUACCAAAAGCUUCUGCCAGCUCUACCAAUUCCCUUGGCCUUGUUACCAUCUGGCUGCAGUUUUGGGCCUGCAAAUUUAAACCUCCAUUUUGAAAUUUUAGAUGGGAGUGUGUUAGUGGAUUCUUUAACACUAUGAUUAGGAGAUCCAAGGGACACAGAAAUAGUAGAGAAUCUUUUAAAUGGAAUGAACACAUGUGCAUUCAAACCUGAAGUUCUACUGCAUUUCCUUUCAGAAGGGCCCUGCAGAAUGCCUUGCACAUGGGAUGACAGGAGAUGAGGCCAAAGAGAACACCACUAAAUGCUUCUUCUUAUACUGAUUUGCUCUUUUCAUUCCAAAAACAAAGAGUAAUCUUCUAUUUCCACAGUAGCCCUCUCCUCAAAGUGAACUUUUAGAGCUGUUUCCAUAAACAUCACUGACAUUUCUAGCAUAAAGCACACAAAAGCAGUUGUAUCCAUUAUUGCACAUCGGAAGCCCACUCUGGCCAAAGUCUGCAACUAUUUUUAGUACAAGAUCAGUAAAUGCAAGCAUGCACAGCAGCCUCUGCUCAGCAGAAAUGUAAAAAUAAAAAAAAAAGCCCCAAGAAAAACACCAUGUGCUCACACUGAGUUUCAGGAAUCCUCACUGCGGCUCAUAAUCGUUAGUGACUAGUGAUUAAAUACCAGGUGUUUCCUUCCAGUCGGGCUACCGCUACUGUAUGAGAACCUAAACUUGAGGGAAUCCAAAUAACAUCUGAGCAAACCUCUGUUAAGUCCAUUUGUCUUCAACACCAACAACACUGCACUAGGAACAGCAGCUCUGAGCACACACAUGCGUGCUUUUCUUCUGGUAGACAGACAAAGAAAUGGCCUUUUUGCCUUCUUGCACAUUGAGUUUAUUAAUCAUAGAACUACAGAAUGGCUUAAGAGUUGCCACUCAUCAGAUCAGACUGCCCAGGGCCCCAUCCAAUCAGGCCUUGAAUGUCUCCAGGGAUCCAGAGCUUCUCUGGGCAGCCUGUUCCAGGCAUACUGCACAAGCAGACAAAGCCUUCCAAAGGAGGGGAGGAAAUACACCUUAAAAAACUUAGAAUAUAUAUAUUCCAAAGUAUCUAUCCACAUCUUUGAGAUGAUCCUCAAUAGUCUUGAAUUGGAGCUGGUACGAAGCUGGAACUUGCUGAAGCUGCUGGAGUUAACCAUCCAAUUCCACCUGCUGGAGAGAUGGCUCACUCAACAGUGUGCCAUAUAAGUGCUGCCAUUUUUCACCUUCUGAUUCUUCUCAUCCCCUAUACUGAAAUAAGCCUAAGCUGUGCAUUAAUAAAAGUGAUAGCACAAGUGGAUCAGAAGAGGAAAAUACAUAACAUCUCUAUUACAGCACAAGAAAAAAGUGAUUUUGUGUGACAUUUCAGCAAGAAAAACUCUAAAAUGGACUGUGGAUUUUUUCCAUAGAUCCUAUUCUGUGCUUAUUUCUCAGGUUCAUGUACGACACCUCUGAUAAAACUGCAUUACUUUCAUGCAAGGUGGUAGCACCAAAAAAAAUCCAGUGUCAUUCCAACAGGUUCUGCCAUGAGGUCAGGGAUGUUACAACAGCACCCAAUUUCUCUACAUCUGACAGGGUACAUUUGCAAUGAUUCACGUGAGGGUGAGACCACUUUUCUUCCUUCGUGCCCACUUUUCGCCAGGACGUGGUACUGCUGCAUCCAAAGUCUAAUACGAACAUCAAAGACUGCAUCUCUACGUACUUCAGGUUCUUCCAUUCAUUUCACUUGAUUUUCUUUUUCAAGCACUAAUGUUUCUUCGGCCUUAUUGAUUAAUUUUCAUUGUACAAGGAAGGGUCCAUAACCUGUGUGUGACCUCCAGAAAUCACAUUUAUUCCAUCUUUGUUUCCUUGUCCCCUGCAGCUGGCUGUUUAAGACUUAUAUCAAAACUGAAAAUGUUGCUUUCCUAUGCAUCCAUUGUGCAACUCUUCCUUCCUUUCCUAACCCUUAAAGUAAGGAAAUGAGCCAGGAGAAGGAUAUCGCGCAUGCUGAGAUUUUUGUCCAUCUCUCCAUGUUGCUGAUGAGCAAUGUGCUGUCCCUCCCUAGAUUUACAGUUAUCAAGAUCUGUUCCUUUGAGGGAAGUGUUACUUUUGUCAGUGAUCAGAAACAGCUGCUUUCAAAAUCAGCAAUGCUGGCUGUUUCUGAGAAUUCAACACUUGGUCUUAGGAACUUUUACUUGUAAGGAUAUAAAAACUCUGCUGAAGUAUUGCUAAAUAGCACGUCAUGCAGUUGCUAAUCCAAAACUUAUAGCAUCGCUUCCAAAUUCCUUGAAACGCCAUGAGAAUCAUUACAUGGUAAUCUCCAAUAAGAUUGAAUCUAGUGUUAUUCAAUGGCUGUUCCCCAAAGUAGAUUCCCUUUUGUUAGUAAAAUCAUUACCUUGCUGCUUAAGCAUUCAGGCUUUCCUCUCUAUUUCACAGUUCAUAAAGCACCUUUAUGAUGUUGAGAUUUUUUUUUUCUGAACAGGCAAAAGAUGGUUUGUUUUUCCUGCUUUGAUUAAAUCCUACAUCCCACAAGCAGUGAACCUGUGAUACCGCUCUGCUGUUUUUAAUUGUCUGCCUCUAUUAAGAUGCCUGCACUGUAUGUCUUUUCCGAAGCCCCAGCGCGAUUUUGUUACGUGCUUGGCAUUAGCGCUGCCAGGUCUGAGGUUAAUACGUACACCACACAACUCAUUAGCUGUGCAUUACUAUCAGAGCCAAAAAUCAACAUGAUUGAUCCAACAAUAUGUUUGGGCUUGGGACUGAGACUCAAAUGAGGUCUUAGCAAAAGCAAAGGUCAGCAACUUGGCACAAAUUUUGCUGUGCACAGAGAAAGCUUUUCUUUCAAACUAUUCAUCAGGGAAGGUACAAAUGACAACUAAUACAGGCCUCAUUAAAAAUGAGAAGAGGAAACCCUGCGGAGAGGGCAAGGAGGCUCCCGCGCUAUCAAUUUACUAUUUUUUUUCAGUCCUUUGCUAAAGCUUUUAUUUAUGUUACAGUAUAGACAAUGCAAAGUUUAAAGGAAGCAGUGGGGUUUGGGGUUUAGGAGACUAGUUAGACUAAUUAUCUUUAUGUGCACUAUCAAUUACUGUCCGGUUAAACAGAGAGAGUAAUUCUGCAGAUGGAAAUCAAUCUUCGAAUCGAAGGAUCUGGGGGAAGGGAAUGAAAGGAUCUUUUUUAAUCAGCCCUGUUAUUUCUUUUAGUAAAAACUCCAGUGUCAAAACAUUUCCUGCCCUAAAAUGACAGAAAUAAAACAGACACUAGUAUGAGAGUGGGAGAGAAGAGGAAUGAUAGAAGAAACCUUUUCAACCAUGGAUUUGUUUCAAGUACAGUUCUUACAAGGAUUUUACUCAUAACUCAAGCACUCUUGUCACAGCCAGACUCUGAAAUCAAUACUUCAAAAUACGCUAUUUUACAUAUGGUAUCAUCAUGUUCUUUUCUUUCUCAGUAACCGAGUGCGUUGAAAAUGCUAUUGAUACAACAAUUAGGCUGUAAGAGAAAUACCUCUUUGCAGUCUCCAGAGUUGCUGUGUUGCAAUAUAAUUGUCUAAUGGCACAUUUUUGUAAGGGCUGUCAUGGUAUUAUGGGUAUAAUUUUAUUUUUACAGGAUACGGUAAAAGGUAAAAGGCUGGCGUUAAUAGCCUCGGGAACCUAUUACACAAACAGAGGUUGAAGAUUAAAAUUGGAGUGGAUUUGUAGAGUCUGCAUUGAGUAAAUGUCUUGCCACACUGAAAAUUAUCGUGCAAGUAACUUAUCCCUCAUCACUAUUUUUUUUUUAACUCUCCUAUUCUUCUAAAGGUCAAUCCCUCUUUCCAACAGAGAACACAGCUUCUUCUCAAGGUAUUUUUAGAAAACUGUUUAUUUUUCUCUGUUAGCAGUUGUUUGGCAAAACAGGAUACAAGGCAUAUUGCUUCUGCUUUUACCAACAGCUACUCUGCUGUGCUGCAAAGUCCCUCAAACAUUAAGUAGCUAAUCUGCCCUAAAAGUACUUGUGGGUAAAGACAACACACCACUGACUGGAAACUCAAAGGGAGAGCAGGAUGGGGCAACACUACAUAUAAAUACAACUGAAAAAGCAGAAGUUUUCCUCCAAAUUGGGGCAUUUUUAUGGGAACAGCUCCAUAGUUGCCCGUUUUCUUCGUGAGGAUUAACUGAGGGUUUUGGUAGGGCUGGAGGGAAGAAGGAACAGCUUUUUUUAAUGGCCUAUUCUGUUGCUUUCUAAUCCAUUUACUGAGCUUAUUAAUCAAAAAGGCUGAAACAGGAGCACUGGGUUAGAUAAAAAAACAAAAACUGAUGACUGGGGUGAGAGGAAUUCAUACUGGGGAGAGCCUGAAGGUCUAAGUGCCCCCAGUUUCAGGCUGGAUAUUAGGAAAAAAUUCUACUCAGAAAGAGUGGUGAGGCAUUGGCACAGGCUGCCCAGAGAGUUGGUGGAGUCACCAUCCCUGGAGGUGUUCAAGAACAGUGGAUAUGUGGAACUGAGGGACAUGGAUUAGUGGUACGGUGUUGAUGGGUUGAUGGUUGGACUGGACUAUCUUAGAGGUCUUUUCCAGUCUUAUUAAUUCUGUGAUUCUAAUGGACCUUUCCAUUUCCCUGAAGGUGAUUUUUUAAUUUCAGGAGACAGAAGCAGAAAAAGAGAAUCAAGGUAAUACUGAAGAAAAAGAACACAGCUGGACAGGCAUCCAUUUGACAGCAGACGCUGGGAGCUUUCCUUAGCCCUGCAGCUCCACUCCUGGCCUGAGAAGGGCACCCACUGAAGGCCAGUAUUUACUGUCAGAGGCUGAGAGAAAAAAGGAGGACUUUCACCUGCUUCUGGAGGAAAGGGAUCAAAGCCUUCCUUCACACCAUACCAACAUCACUCUUGCUUUUUUUCCCCGCUGAACUUGAAUGCGCAUACAUUCAGACACGGGCCUUCGGAGCUGUGCAGCCUCAAGGUGAGCUGCCCCAGUGCCUGCACGAAGGGAGGUGGAUCCUUGCAGAUAGAUUCAACUGCAGCUGCCAAGGCAAGGCUCUCCCCACAGGAGAGUGGGGUUACAUACAAAAAAAAGUUAAGUUCCAGUGCCUUGAUGGCCUGCUAAGCCAUGGAAAGCAGGCUGUCCUCAGGACCAUGCCAGAAUGUGCUCCCACAGUCACAGCCCUGCCAGAAGAAACAGCUCCUACGGUCCAGCAGGCUGCAAACCUGCCCUGUUGCCUUAUGGCAUCCUCUCCUCCUCCCUUUUCAAGCCCUGGGUUCCUUCUGCUCCAGAAGCAGGGGCAACACCUGGGAUCCCAGCAGUACCCCUUGUCCUCUCCAGGCCUCACUAGAGCAGGCAUUACAGCUCAGAGCUCACCACUCUCCUGCUGUAGGAAGGGAAAAGUUAAAACCAGAGCAGAAUGCCGUUAGAAAGAAGCUUUCUCUUCGUUUCUGGUGUUUACCUGGAUAGUGAAAUCAGAACAAGCACCGCUGAAACAGUUAGAUCAAAACGCAGAAGGGAGAACAAGCACAGUGUAAUUACUUCUGCUGGAAUUUGGCCAGGGCCAACUCAACCCUUGUGGGAAGGGCAAGGGGACAUGUGGGGCCCCAUCUGUACUUCAGGUCAAAUUCUGCAAGAAUGAUUUUACAUCUGAAGGCUAACACAGGCACAAUAGCAUUCACCCACUGUAGAACUGUGCUCCGUAAUUAUCUGAUCACAGGUUUUCUUUUCUUCUGCCCUAAAAAACCAAGCUGUACUGCAGACUAACUUUCAAGCUCAGACCUUUCACUCUCAUACCUUCCAUUCACUAUCCUAAUCCUGUAAUUUUGCAUGAUUUAUCAGCCCAGUCUUUACACUUACUCUGCUUUCCAAUCCCUUUGUACCGAGCACUUCCUCCUGAGUUAGAUUUAUCAUUUGCUCAACUUGGCUGUCAUCAGCAUGUGAAGGAAUAGCAUGUGUUACAUUAAUGAAAUGACUGCUUUUAGCUAGAAUUUUUCUUAAUAUAUCCAUUUAUUGAAUGCAACUAAAACAAGAAAUCGAUGUUACUGCUGAUGAACUGACGUGUGGACCUUGCGGAAUCUGGAAGAGGAAAUUACUCUUCAUGCUACUUCAGGUUUACGUCUUUCCUUAGGUCAGGCUGAUCGCUAUCCCAGAUAAUGAAGACUGUUAAUGUAAUUAAGUGCUCUGUUGUGGUGUUUUACAAAGCAAGCAAAUAAGUUCUGGCAUUAAUAAGCUACGAGGUUAAGUGACAGAGGACAAAAACAGAACUCUCCAUUUCUAUUGAAGGGCUCCACAGCAAGUAAUUAGUCAGGAUUUAAAAAUACAAUUUCUAAUUUAGGACACAGAAGAUUUUCCAAUUUGAGGUAUGUGCAAUCUACAGAAGGUCAGAUUAAUGUUAAGAUUAUGACCAUCUGUAUGUUAUCAGUAUGAUAAAUGAGGUCCUCUAGCCAUUCAGAACAGGCCAGGUCCAAACUGCCUUGCUUAUUUUAUAGAUGCGUAGAGGGAGAGACAAAGAGAGACAGAGAGAAGGAAAGAGAGAGAUGGAGAGAGAGAGAGAUGGAAUGCAUGGAUAACUACUAAAGAAUACUGAGACUGAAUGAAGAAAAAAAAAGCUGUGAAGACUGGAAAUUGAUAAGGAGACCACACUACAUGAACACAAUUUCCCUGCAAGAAAAAGAGAACACUGAAAUUACAGUUUUCUCAGCAAACUCCAAUGUUUCUAGCAGGUUAUUUAUCUGGUUAAACAAUACACUGAUUUGCAAAAGGGGUUAAGACAGUUCAGCCCAAAGUUCACUGCAGUUCCAGACUAAACACGCACAGGUAUUUUCUCAAGACAGAAUGAAGAGCUGGGGAUCAGCACAACCCAGGUUUAUCUCCUGAACAAGCUACCGGUUCAGUUUGUGCAAUGUGAUGUGCCAACCAGCACAGCCAAAGAGCUACGUCCUGCCCAAAGAGGCAGCCCCAUCACCCAGCCCCUACACCUGUGCCAUGUGCUCUCACAACUCUGGCACUGGAAUCUGCAUUUUCCCCAAAAAGUAAUGAGUUUCUGCCAGCAUAACCAUCUGAUCUGGCUCAUUACAGGGCCAGAUGGGCGCUGUCACCACAGCGAUGGGAGGGCUGGGAGUGCUGAGGGGGACGGCAGCAGCCAGCCCAGAGCUGCACAUGUGGCCACGUAUCUGCAUCAAAGGCACUGCAGCCAGGGACACAGCCAUGCCAGGGAUUUCUAAAUGUUGUCCAGCACCUGCUGUGCUUUUAUACUGUGUCACAGGAAGGUGGUUAAAAGCAGAUGCUCAUGCUGUUAAAUAAAGUCAAAAUGCUUUAACUACA